rnacentral:rRNA from 1 species
ACAACAGUUGGAAACGACUGCUAAUACCGNAUAAGCGGCACAGCUUCGCAUGAAGCAGUGUGAAAAACUCCGGUGGUACAAGAUGGACCCGCGUCUGAUUAGCUGGUUGGUGAGGUAAACGGGCCCACCAAGGCGACGAUCAGUAGCCGGCCUGAGAGGGUGAACGGCCACAUUGGGACUGAGACACGGCCCAAACUCCUACGGGAGGCAGCAGUGGGGAAUAUUGCACAAUGGGGGAAACCCUGAUGCAGCAACGCCGCGUGAGUGAAGAAGUAUUUCGGUAUGUAAAGCUCUAUCAGCAGGAAAGAAAAUGACGGUACCUGACUAAGAAGCCCCGGCUAACUACGUG